GCCUAGUUAGCUUAGUUGGUAGUGCGUCUGCCUUGUAAGCGCUAGGCCGCGGGUUUGAUUCCCACACGGGGCG
rnacentral:tRNA from 1 species